rnacentral:rRNA from 1 species
AGUAGUUGAUCAGUGGCUCAGGACACGCUGGCGGCGUUGCUUAACACAUGCAAGUCGAACGAUGAAGCCCAGCUUGCUGGGUGGAUUAGUGGCGAACGGGUGAGUAACACGUGGGUGAUCUGCCCUGCACUCUGGGAUAAGCCUGGGAAACUGGGUCUAAUACCGGAUAUGACCUCUUGCUGCAUGGCGAGGGGUGGAAAGUUUUUCGGUGCAGGAUGAGCCCGCGGCCUAUCAGCUUGUUGUGGGGUAAUGGCCUACCAAGGCGACGACGGGUAGCCGGCCUGAGAGGGCGACCGGCCACACUGGGACUGAGACACGGCCCAGACUCCUACGGGAGGCAGCAGUGGGGAAUAUUGCACAAUGGGCGAAAGCCUGAUGCAGCGACGCCGCGUGAGGGAUGACGGCCUUCGGGUUGUAAACCUCUUUCAGCAGGGACGAAGCGAAAGUGACGGUACCUGCAGAAGAAGCACCGGCCAACUACGUG